rnacentral:rRNA from 1 species
GGGUUGUGAGGUUAAGCGACUAAGCGUACACGGUGGAUGCCCUGGCAGUCAGAGGCGAUGAAGGACGUGCUAAUCUGCGAAAAGCGCCGGUAAGGUGAUAUGAACCGUUAUAACCGGCGAUGUCCGAAUGGGGAAACCCAGUGUGACUCGUCACACUAUCAUUAACUGAAUCCAUAGGUUAAUGAGGCGAACCGGGGGAACUGAAACAUCUAAGUACCCCGAGGAAAAGAAAUCAACCGAGAUUCCCCCAGUAGCGGCGAGCGAACGGGGAGGAGCCCAGAGUCUGAAUCAGCUUGUGUGUUAGUGGAAGCGUCUGGAAAGUCGCGCGAUACAGGGUGACAGCCCCGUACACAAAAGCACACAGGCUGUGAGCUCGAUGAGUAGGGCGGGACACGUGGUAUCCUGUCUGAAUAUGGGGGGACCAUCCUCCAAGGCUAAAUACUCCUGACUGACCGAUAGUGAACCAGUACCGUGAGGGAAAGGCGAAAAGAACCCCGGCGAGGGGAGUGAAAAAGAACCUGAAACCGUGUACGUACAAGCAGUGGGAGCCUCUUGAUGGGGUGACUGCGUACCUUUUGUAUAAUGGGUCAGCGACUUAUAUUCUGUAGCAAGGUUAACCGAAUAGGGGAGCCGAAGGGAAACCGAGUCUUAACUGGGCGUUAAGUUGCAGGGUAUAGACCCGAAACCCGGUGAUCUAGCCAUGGGCAGGUUGAAGGUUGGGUAACACUAACUGGAGGACCGAACCGACUAAUGUUGAAAAAUUAGCGGAUGACCUGUGGCUGGGGGUGAAAGGCCAAUCAAACCGGGAGAUAGCUGGUUCUCCCCGAAAGCUAUUUAGGUAGCGCCUCGUGAAUUCAUCUCCGGGGGUAGAGCACUGUUUCGGCUAGGGGGCCAUCCCGGCUUACCAACCCGAUGCAAACUACGAAUACCGGAGAAUGUUAUCACGGGAGACACACGGCGGGUGCUAACGUCCGUCGUGAAGAGGGAAACAACCCAGACCGCCAGCUAAGGUCCCAAAGUCAUGGUUAAGUGGGAAACGAUGUGGGAAGGCCCAGACAGCCAGGAUGUUGGCUUAGAAGCAGCCAUCAUUUAAAGAAAGCGUAAUAGCUCACUGGUCGAGUCGGCCUGCGCGGAAGAUGUAACGGGGCUAAACCAUGCACCGAAGCUGCGGCAGCGACACUGUGUGUUGUUGGGUAGGGGAGCGUUCUGUAAGCCUGCGAAGGUGGCCUGUGAGGGUUGCUGGAGGUAUCAGAAGUGCGAAUGCUGACAUAAGUAACGAUAAAGCGGGUGAAAAGCCCGCUCGCCGGAAGACCAAGGGUUCCUGUCCAACGUUAAUCGGGGCAGGGUGAGUCGACCCCUAAGGCGAGGCCGAAAGGCGUAGUCGAUGGGAAACAGGUUAAUAUUCCUGUACUUGGUGUUACUGCGAAGGGGGGACGGAGAAGGCUAUGUUAGCCGGGCGACGGUUGUCCCGGUUUAAGCGUGAAGGUGUGUGCUCCAGGCAAAUCCGGAGUGCUUUAACACUGAGGCGUGAUGACGAGGCACUACGGUGCUGAAGUAACAAAUGCCCUGCUUCCAGGAAAAGCCUCUAAGCAUCAGGUAACACGAAAUCGUACCCCAAACCGACACAGGUGGUCAGGUAGAGAAUACCAAGGCGCUUGAGAGAACUCGGGUGAAGGAACUAGGCAAAAUGGUGCCGUAACUUCGGGAGAAGGCACGCUGAUAUGUAGGUGAAGCGACUUGCUCGUGGAGCUGAAAUCAGUCGAAGAUACCAGCUGGCUGCAACUGUUUAUUAAAAACACAGCACUGUGCAAACACGAAAGUGGACGUAUACGGUGUGACGCCUGCCCGGUGCCGGAAGGUUAAUUGAUGGGGUCAUCCGUAAGGAGAAGCUCUUGAUCGAAGCCCCGGUAAACGGCGGCCGUAACUAUAACGGUCCUAAGGUAGCGAAAUUCCUUGUCGGGUAAGUUCCGACCUGCACGAAUGGCGUAAUGAUGGCCAGGCUGUCUCCACCCGAGACUCAGUGAAAUUGAACUCGCUGUGAAGAUGCAGUGUACCCGCGGCAAGACGGAAAGACCCCGUGAACCUUUACUAUAGCUUGACACUGAACACUGGUCCUUGAUGUGUAGGAUAGGUGGGAGGCUUUGAAGCGUGGACGCCAGUCUGCGUGGAGCCAUCCUUGAAAUACCACCCUUUAAUGGCUGGUGUUCUAACGUGGACCCGUAAUCCGGGUUGCGGACAGUGUCUGGUGGGUAGUUUGACUGGGGCGGUCUCCUCCUAAAGCGUAACGGAGGAGCACGAAGGUCAGCUAAUCCUGGUCGGACAUCAGGAGGUUAGUGCAAUGGCAUAAGCUGGCUUGACUGCGAGCGUGACGGCGCGAGCAGGUGCGAAAGCAGGUCAUAGUGAUCCGGUGGUUCUGAAUGGAAGGGCCAUCGCUCAACGGAUAAAAGGUACUCCGGGGAUAACAGGCUGAUACCGCCCAAGAGUUCAUAUCGACGGCGGUGUUUGGCACCUCGAUGUCGGCUCAUCACAUCCUGGGGCUGAAGUAGGUCCCAAGGGUAUGGCUGUUCGCCAUUUAAAGUGGUACGCGAGCUGGGUUUAGAACGUCGUGAGACAGUUCGGUCCCUAUCUGCCGUGGGCGCUGGAGAAUUGAGGGGGGCUGCUCCUAGUACGAGAGGACCGGAGUGGACGCAUCACUGGUGUUCGGGUUGUCAUGCCAAUGGCACUGCCCGGUAGCUAAAUGCGGAAGAGAUAAGUGCUGAAAGCAUCUAAGCACGAAACUUGCCCCGAGAUGAGUUCUCCCUGAGACUUUAAGUCUCCUGAAGGAACGUUGAAGACGACGACGUUGAUAGGCCGGGUGUGUAAGCGCAGCGAUGCGUUGAGCUAACCGGUACUAAUGAACCGUGAGGCUUAACCUUACAACGCCGAAG